ACUUAAAUUGAAGAGUUUGAUCAUGGCUCAGAUUGAACGCUGGCGGCAGGCCUAACACAUGCAAGUCGAGCGGUAGCACAGAGAGCUUGCUCUCGGGUGACGAGCGGCGGACGGGUGAGUAAUGUCUGGGAAACUGCCUGAUGGAGGGGGAUAACUACUGGAAACGGUAGCUAAUACCGCAUAACGUCGCAAGACCAAAGUGGGGGACCUUCGGGCCUCAUGCCAUCAGAUGUGCCCAGAUGGGAUUAGCUAGUAGGUGGGGUAACGGCUCACCUAGGCGACGAUCCCUAGCUGGUCUGAGAGGAUGACCAGCCACACUGGAACUGAGACACGGUCCAGACUCCUACGGGAGGCAGCAGUGGGGAAUAUUGCACAAUGGGCGCAAGCCUGAUGCAGCCAUGCCGCGUGUGUGAAGAAGGCCUUCGGGUUGUAAAGCACUUUCAGCGGGGAGGAAGGCGGUGAGGUUAAUAACCUCAUCGAUUGACGUUACCCGCAGAAGAAGCACCGGCUAACUCCGUGCCAGCAGCCGCGGUAAUACGGAGGGUGCAAGCGUUAAUCGGAAUUACUGGGCGUAAAGCGCACGCAGGCGGUCUGUCAAGUCGGAUGUGAAAUCCCCGGGCUCAACCUGGGAACUGCAUUCGAAACUGGCAGGCUAGAGUCUUGUAGAGGGGGUAGAAUUCCAGGUGUAGCGGUGAAAUGCGUAGAGAUCUGGAGGAAUACCGGUGGCGAAGGCGGCCCCCUGGACAAAGACUGACGCUCAGGUGCGAAAGCGUGGGGAGCAAACAGGAUUAGAUACCCUGGUAGUCCACGCCGUAAACGAUGUCGAUUUGGAGGUUGUGCCCUUGAGGCGUGGCUUCCGGAGCUAACGCGUUAAAUCGACCGCCUGGGGAGUACGGCCGCAAGGUUAAAACUCAAAUGAAUUGACGGGGGCCCGCACAAGCGGUGGAGCAUGUGGUUUAAUUCGAUGCAACGCGAAGAACCUUACCUGGUCUUGACAUCCACAGAACUUUCCAGAGAUGGAUUGGUGCCUUCGGGAACUGUGAGACAGGUGCUGCAUGGCUGUCGUCAGCUCGUGUUGUGAAAUGUUGGGUUAAGUCCCGCAACGAGCGCAACCCUUAUCCUUUGUUGCCAGCGGUUAGGCCGGGAACUCAAAGGAGACUGCCAGUGAUAAACUGGAGGAAGGUGGGGAUGACGUCAAGUCAUCAUGGCCCUUACGACCAGGGCUACACACGUGCUACAAUGGCAUAUACAAAGAGAAGCGACCUCGCGAGAGCAAGCGGACCUCAUAAAGUAUGUCGUAGUCCGGAUUGGAGUCUGCAACUCGACUCCAUGAAGUCGGAAUCGCUAGUAAUCGUAGAUCAGAAUGCUACGGUGAAUACGUUCCCGGGCCUUGUACACACCGCCCGUCACACCAUGGGAGUGGGUUGCAAAAGAAGUAGGUAGCUUAACCUUCGGGAGGGCGCUUACCACUUUGUGAUUCAUGACUGGGGUGAAGUCGUAACAAGGUAACCGUAGGGGAACCUGCGGUUGGAUCACCUCCUUACCUUAAAGAA
rnacentral:rRNA from 1 species